GAGGAAAGGAGAGAAGAAAAUAAAGGAAAAAUAAUCAGAGAGAGAGAAAGCAAAGGUGAAAGCUGUAGAGCACAUGGAGUGCGGGGUCUGACCAAACCAUCAUCAACCACCACCACCACCACCACAAUAAUACUGAAGCCCACACUAUGUCCCACUCUUCCUGAGCCACCGCCACAACCACCUGCCUCGGCGCUCCGAUUAUGGACUCUGAUAAGGAAAUGUCAUCUGCUGUUAUCCAGGAGAAUGAUGCUGUUACUGGUCACAUAAUAUCCACCACCAUUGGAGGCAAAAAUGGGGAACCUAAGCAGACCAUCAGUUAUAUGGCAGAGUGUCUUGUAGGUACUGGAUCAUUCGGAAUUGUUUUCCAGGCAAAAUGCCUGGAAACUGGAGAGACAGUGGCUAUUAAGAAGGUCUUACAGGACCGGCGGUAUAAAAAUCGUGAACUAGAGUUGAUGCGCUUGAUGAAUCACUCGAAUAUUGUUUCCCUGAAGCACUGUUUCUUUUCUACAACGAGUAAUGAUGAACUUUUUCUCAAUUUGGUUAUGGAAUAUGUCCCUGAGACCAUUUAUCGUGCUGUAAAGCAUUACUGCAGUAUGAACCAGAGGAUGCCACUUAUCUAUGUAAAACUUUAUACAUAUCAGAUCUUCAGAGGACUGGCAUAUAUUCAUUCUGUUCCUGGGGUUUGCCAUAGAGAUGUUAAGCCUCAAAAUUUGUUGGUUGAUCCUCUCACGCACCAGGUUAAGCUAUGUGACUUUGGAAGUGCGAAAGUAUUGGUCAAGGGAGAAGCAAACAUCUCAUAUAUAUGCUCUCGUUAUUACCGAGCUCCAGAACUCAUAUUUGGUGCAACAGAGUAUACAACGUCAAUUGAUAUUUGGUCAGCUGGUUGUGUCCUUGCUGAGCUUCUUCUAGGCCAGCCCUUGUUUCCAGGAGAAAAUGCAGUGGGUCAACUUGUAGAGAUCGUCAAGAUUCUGGGUACUCCCACUCGAGAAGAAAUUCGCUGCAUGAAUCCUAAUUAUACAGACUUCAGGUUCCCUCAGAUGAAAGCUCAUCCUUGGCACAAAGUUUUCCACAAGCGAAUGCCUCCUGAAGCAAUUGACCUCGCUUCUAGGCUUCUCCAAUAUUCCCCAAGUCUUCGCUGCACUGCGCUUGAAGCAUGUGCACAUCCUUUCUUUGAUGAGCUCCGUGAGCCCAAUGCCCGCCUUCCUAAUGGUCGCCCUUUACCCCCACUUUUCAACUUCAAACAGGAACCUUAUGGUGUGCCUAUGAAUUUACCAUUUGGUAUUUUCUCAUAAAAAACAAUAAAUACUUUCACACUCUAUGCACACAUCAUAACUAAGUCUCAAACAACCAGACACUGGCAAUGAUAGACAUUCAGAUGAUAGCUGAUUCAUGAAAUUGUAUUUCAACCAUGGGGUCAACCGUAGGGCAGUUGAAGGAUUGUCGUUUGGCAGGAGCCUCUCCUGAACUGAUUAACAGGCUCAUACCUGAGCAUGUGAGGCGACAGGCUGGUCUUAGCUUACCACAUCCAGGACGGACGUAAAAGGGGAGGCAUGAAAUAAGGAAUCAAUUCUAGGAGUGGAUGUUUAUGAAACAAGGGAUUACCUUGGUGUGGUCAAUAUAAUCAAUGCGUUAUCAGUGGAUUCUCUCGCCCUGUGAAGAUAUAUAUACACAUACCAGCUUUUUGGCUUGGAAAUUGGUGAUCAUCUACCGUGGCUUUGUACAUUGUUUUGAUCGAAAAGUGUCCAUAAAAGCUAGCUAUUUAGGGGGUCAAAAAAAAUCCCUGCUGGAGUUCGAGGGCUCAGUCAUAGUUUGGCUUGCUCUUUCCUAAGAUGUUGUAUUCUCUGUUGUUUCUCAAUUCUCAUGUUGUGGACAACCAUAUUUCACGAUUUAUGGUUUACUGAAAUAUUUCCCUUCACCAUUGCACUAGGUUGAUUCAAUUCCUUUUCUUUUAAGGAGUAUUUUACAAGAAGAUAUUUAGAAAACGCAGUCUGAGAACUGGCUAGU